UGUCUUAUUCUCAGUUCUUCAUCACAUGUAUUCACUGUUACAUAUUUAUGUUGUGUAUCAUUUCAUUUUAGGAAAGGCCCAACAAGCCAAACAGCAACCAUGUGACUCCAGUUGUCUGUUAAUUCAUGUCAUUACUCAGGAUGAAGGUGUGCUGCAAUACCUUAAGAAAAUCAUCAGAGGCAACAUUGUGUCUCCCUGGGCCAAGAAGGAGGACAGGGUCUUCAGUCUUUUUGAAGAUGAUGACCAUGUGGACCAGGUGAUGCACUUGUUGUCUGGAGUGGUUGAAAGUCCACAGACAGAUAAGAAGUCUGCAGAUCCUGUGGCUUUAAUCAUACAGAGCUGUACUCUCCAUCUCCCUGGACAAAGACAAAGACUGAAUGUCUUCAAUUUCCUUCGGGAUCAAUAAAGUAUCUAUCUAUCUAUCUAUCUAUCUAUCUAUCUAUCUAUCUAAGACAUGGACACAUGUGGAACUGAGUUUGACUCCAGAGAUAACUCAGCUUCAGAGCCACAGGUCCAAGGAAGCAAGGCUCAAACUGGAAAGCCUUAGAGAGUGAGGACUUUGUCGUUAGGCGCCUGUAAACCCUGACAACUUUUAGAAACAUGUAAAUAGUUAAUUGUCU